rnacentral:rRNA from 1 species
UACGUAGGGGGCGAGCGUUGUCCGGAGUACUGGGCGUAAAGCGCACGCAGGCGGUUUCGUACGUCUGGAGUGACAGUUCCCGGCUCAACUGGGAAAGGUCUUCGGAAACGGCGAGACUUGAGGGCUUCAGAGGGACACGGAAUUCCGGGUGGAGUGGUGAAAUGCGUAGAGAUCCGGAGGAACACCAAUGGCGAAGGCAGUGUCCUGGGAAGCAUCUGACGCUCAGGUGACGAAAGCUAGGGGAGCGAACAGG